rnacentral:snoRNA from 1 species
AUUGUGAUGAGGACAGUCUCCGAUUAGCCCCUUGAACCUCUCCUAAGCUGAAUAUAAAGACUUUCUCGCUUUCUGUUUGAAGGCAACUAUCUCAUUUCUGAUCUU